AAUGCCUAAUUGAGUCAAGUUUCCGUCUGCAUACCGGGUAAUUUAAAGAAUUACAACUUAAUAACAAAAAAAGCUUGCCGUGGGCGUUGAUGAUACAACAUAUGCGAGCAGAUUAUUGCCGGUAAGACAUGUUUCGCCCAGCUGUUCACGUGUGAAAAUGAUUUAUAUGACUUAGCGUUGACAUUUGACAACACUUUUUUCUGAGACCGGAAGUGUGCGUAGGCGUAUACGUAAUAUAUGUGUAUUGUAAUGAGGGAGCCUGUUGUACAUUACUCAUACCACCUGUCCGCCACGCAAGAGCAGUGGGGUUCAGGAAUCAGCACUUGCUGACAAAAUGAUAACAUCUAAUUAAAUUUUCCUGAGGUUUACUAUACAUCUUAGUAAUGUGUUGACUGCCGCAAUUAAUGUGCUUAUCAACAUGUGAACAAGUUGCUUAAACAUUUUAGCAAUGAAAUAUAUACAUAUAUAAUAUAUAAAUAUAUAAUUAUAUACUAGUGAGUUUUA